rnacentral:Y_RNA from 1 species
AGCUGGUCCCAGUGCAGUGGUGUUUACAACUAAUUGAUCACAACCAAUUACAGAUUUCUUUGUUCCUUCUCCACUCCCACUGCUUCACUUGACCAGCCUUUA